rnacentral:misc_RNA from 1 species
GGAGUGACCAACCCCCCCAUAAAUCAGAGUUCCUACCUCUUGUAAGAGGUCCAAGGCAUGCCCCCACAACACAAAGAAAGACGAGUUAACCUAAAGCAUAAUUCCCUAGAGCCCAGAUCUGUUCCAUGCUAGCCAUCAUUUUAUCGUUUUGGCGGCCUCUCAUCAUCCUCACCACUGUCGUCAUCGCUGUCAUCAUCCUUACUAGCUCUCUUCCUUUUCACAGAAUUAUCCUUUCCAGCAGGGGUGUCAUCAUCAUCAUCAGAGUUAUCAUCCUCGUCAUCGUCAUCACCGGUCUCAAAAUCACUUGCCUCUUCCUCGUUCACAGCAUGCGCUACAGGUUGGGCAAGGUAAUCUGCCCCCACAUCCUCCUCAUCAUCAUCCUCAUCGUCGUCGUCAUCAUCGUCGUCGUCGCUCCCACCAUCUCCGCCGCCGCUCACCCCCUCCUCCGGCUCAUCCUCGUCCUCAUCAUCAUCAUCCACCUCAUGCACCUGCGGCCCGUUCCCCGCCGGGAUCUCAUCCGCAUCCUCCUCUUCAUCGUCGUCGUCGUCACCCCCGUCAUCGUCCUCAUCAUCGUCGUCAUCAUCCUCCUUGACCUCCGUCAUCUCAUCUGGCUCCUCCUCCUCGUCCUCCUCAUCAUCA